UUGCACAUGUUGAACGACCUGCU
rnacentral:miRNA from 1 species